GUACUUGCUGUGAGUACUUGCCCACUUGUACAUCAAUGUAUUAUACUGCUCCCAUUAAGCAUCUUGUUGGCCGCUCACAGCCUAUAUAUAGUUCUAUAUUUAUAACAUUUCAUAUGAAACUUAAAGAGGUCAUAUUAUGCUUUUGGGUUUUGUUUUACCCUUCGUUUAUUGUGCUAUGAAGCAUUGUUGUGCAUGUAAAAAGAAGGAGUGAAAAAGCCCAAAGUCCACGCCAAAGACAUGAACUGUGGUUUCUUGUAUGAAGGUCCUGUGUUUUGACCCAUCCAUCCUCAGAAUGUAAUGACACUUAGCACCUCAUCAGAACUUUCCAGACAGACUUGCUGUAAAAAAGGGAUGAUUGGAGGCCGGCCAACCUGCAGCCACGGUGAGCAUGACUAGCAGGUGGUGGUGGGUGUUACCACUGGUGGCAUUUCCCGGUACAGUCAACACCAUACUGAGAACCGGCUGCAUCUGUUUUAAGAGCGGCUAUACCGUGAUCUGAGUGGUCAACACAAAGGCUUUCUGAAAGGUUGGUUCUUUCAUGAGGCAUAAUGGAUUUUAAUAACGGAGGCAAUCAUGCUCUUUUUUUUUUUCUUUUUUCUUUUUUUAGCUUUCAAGUUGUCAGACAUGUGAAGUUGGCAUGAAAACUGAAACACAAAGAUAAUCAGUCCAGGUCUUAGAGCAGCACCACAUGCAGAGCACACCGUUGCACGAACAGGAGGGAGUUGGGUCUUGAGGGAACCUGUGUUUUUAAGGGAGAAAAACAGGACUUCAUCCUUCUUCCACCUCACCCGCUUCAUACCUCUCAUCCCUCCCUCCAUUCU